rnacentral:rRNA from 1 species
CCAAGGAGUCUAAUUAGGCAUCAAGUCGAUCGGUCUUGAUAGGCCAGACUGGUGGAUUCGUCCCCGAUUGAAGGCGAGAGAAUCAAAUCAUGUGAUCCUGGGGGCAAUACCAGCCCUUAUGCGCAACAUGUGCCUGUUCGUAUAGUAAUGUUAGCAAUAACUUAUUGGGCGGAGCAAAGAGAUGCCUGAUUGGUACCCGAAAGAUGGUGAACUAUGCUUGGGCAAAUUGAAGCCAGAGGAAACUCUGGUGGAGGAUUGUAGCGAUUCUGACGUGCAAAUCGAUCGUCAGACCUGAGUAUAGGGGCGAAAGACUAAUCGAACCAUC